CACGGAGGGGGCUAGCGUUGUUCGGAAUUACUGGGCGUAAAGCGCACGUAGGCGGCUUUGUAAGUUAGAGGUGAAAGCCCGGGGCUCAACUCCGGAAUUGCCUUUAAGACUGCAUCGCUAGAAUUGUGGAGAGGUAAGUGGAAUUCCGAGUGUAGAGGUGAAAUUCGUAGAUAUUCGGAAGAACACCAGUGGCGAAGGCGACUUACUGGACACAUAUUGACGCUGAGGUGCGAAAAGCGUGGGGGAGCAAACAGG
rnacentral:rRNA from 1 species